GCAGCCACUCAUUCAAAGAGUGCGUAAUAGCUCACUGGUCGAGUGAUCCUGCGCCGAAGAUUUCCGGGGCUAAAACUUACUACCGAAGCUACGGCAUCAGUAAUGAUGGGUAGGGGAGCUUCCCAUAUGGGUUGAAGCAUGACCGUAAGGACAUGUGGACAGUAUGGGAGUGAGAAUGUUGGCAUGAGUAGCGAGAUGUGGGUGAGAAUCCCACAGGCCGUAAACCCAAGGUUUCCAGGGGAAGGUUCGUCCGCCCUGGGUUAGUCGGGACCUAAGCUGAGGCCGAAAGGCGUAGGUGAUGGACAACAGGUUGAUAUUCCUGUACUACCGAUAACCGUUUGAGAGAAGGGAUGACACAGUAGGAUAAGCUAAGCACACUGUUGGUUAUGUGUGCCCAAGCAUUGAGGCAGUCAAAGUAGGCAAAUCCGCUUUGAUAAUGCUGGGAUGUGAUGGGGAGCGAAAUUUAGUAGCGAAGUAGCUGAUUUCACACUGUCAAGAAAAGUCUCUAUCGAGGUUAAAGGUACCCGUACCGCAAACCGACACAGGUGGGUGAGGAGAGUAUCCUAAGGCCAGCGAGAGAACUGUUGUUAAGGAACUCGGCAAAAUGACCCCGUAACUUAGGGAUAAGGGGUGCCACCAUCAGGUGGCCGCAGAGAAUAGGCCCAAGCGACUGUUUACCAAAAACAUAGGUUUCUGCUAAGUCGCAAGACGAUGUAUAGGAGCUGACGCCUGCCCGGUGCUGGAAGGUUAAGGGGAUCUGUUAGAGCAAUCGAAGCAGUGAACUUAAGCCCCAGUAAACGGCGGCCGUAACUAUAACGGUCCUAAGGUAGCGAAAUUCCUUGUCGGGUAAGUUCCGACCCGCACGAAAGGCGUAACGAUUUGGGCACUGUCUCAACAACAGACUCGGUGAAAUUGUAAUUCCGGUGAAGAUGCCGGAUACCUGCGACAGGACGGAAAGACCCCAUGGAGCUUUACUGUAGCUUGACAUUGGGUCUUGGUACUACAUGUACAGGAUAGGUGGGAGGCUUUGAAACCAGGACGCCAGUUUUGGCGGAGCCAUCCUUGGGAUACCACCCUUGUAGUACUGGGACUCUAACCAUAG
rnacentral:rRNA from 1 species